rnacentral:rRNA from 1 species
AGUGAACGCUGGCGGUAGGCCUAACACAUGCAAGUCGAACGGCAGCACAGUAAGAGCUUGCUCUUACGGGUGGCGAGUGGCGGACGGGUGAGGAAUACAUCGGAAUCUACUUUUUCGUGGGGGAUAACGUAGGGAAACUUACGCUAAUACCGCAUACGACCUACGGGUGAAAGCAGGGGAUCUUCGGACCUUGCGCGAUUGAAUGAGCCGAUGUCGGAUUAGCUAGUUGGCGGGGUAAAGGCCCACCAAGGCGACGAUCCGUAGCUGGUCUGAGAGGAUGAUCCGCCACACUUGAACUGAGACACGGUCCAGAAUCCUAAGGGAGGGCGCAGUUGGGAAUAUUGGGCAAUGGGCGCAAGCCUGAUCCAGCCAUACCGCGUGGGUGAAGAAGGCCUUCGGGUUGUAAAGCCCUUUUGUUGGGAAAGAAAAGCAGCAGGUUAAUACCCCGCUGUUCUGACGGUACCCAAAGAAUAAGCACCGGCUAACUUCGUG